rnacentral:lncRNA from 1 species
UUUUUUUUUAAUUGAGGAUUAAUUGUACAUUGGUCUCAACUUUUGCACUAUUUUUAUUUUAAUAUCUAAUAUAUUUUUUUUUGCAAUCAAGUUCUUAUUUUAUUUUAAUUUUAUUGCAAUUACGUCCCAACUGUUAAACCUAUGUAAUUUCGCACUUUUUUAUUUUUAUACCCUGUAAUUUAAAAUAUAUCAAUUUAGUACCCUGUGGUUUAAAGUGUAUUAAUUUAUUACCUUACUUUGGGUUGUGGAGUCCAUAUGUAAUUUUUUUUACGAAUUAAUCGCAUAUUGAUCCCAACCUUUUCACUAUUUUUUAUUUUGGCCCUCAAUCUUUUUUUUUUUGCAAUCAAAAUUUUCAAUCUCUUGAUUUUAUCGCAAUAAAAUGGUACUCUUAAAAGAGGUUUUAAAAUUAACGAUAUUAUCAUGUCAUCAUCUAUUUAGCUUUUUUUUGUAUGUUAAUUUUAGUCUCUAAAUUUUAUUUUUCACUUUAGUCCCUUAAAAUAAAAAUUUUAAAUUUUAAAUUUUAAAUUUAAAUUCGGAAGUAAUCUUAAAAAAUUAAUUCGAAAAUUUAUGAGUAUAAAAAAGUCUGUAGGUAUAAAAGUAUAGUAGCUUAAAAUUUUUAUUUUUAAUAAUAUUUUAAUAAUAUUAAUUUUAAUAAUAAUAAUUUAUUAUAAUAAUAUCACCCCGUCGCAUUCC